UGGGGAUGCAAGUCUUUUAUAAAGUAAAUAGGUUUAUUGGGAAUACAAGGUGUUUUCCAACUUAAUACAAUCACGCAACUUAAAAUAAAGUCCCUCAAAUCCUUAUACUAGCCCUAAAUUCAACCUACAUCAUAAAUCAAACAUAGGGUUUCUUUUAUUACAAACCAACUCAUCACAAGGCUCUAAGUAGAAACACUGUAGCAAAA
rnacentral:lncRNA from 1 species